CACACCGCCCGUCACACCAUGGGAGUGGCUUCUGCCAGAAGUAGGUAGCUUAACCCGCAAGGGGGAGCGCUUACCACGGUAGGAGUCAUGACUGGGGUG
rnacentral:rRNA from 1 species